rnacentral:rRNA from 1 species
AGAGUUUGAUCCUGGCUCAGAUUGAACGCUGGCGGCAGGCUUAACACAUACAAGUCGAACGGUAACAGGAAGGAAGCUUGCUUUCUUUGCUGACGAGUGGCGGACGGGUGAGUAAUGCUUGGGAAUCUGGCUUAUGGAGGGGGAUAACUACGGGAAACUGUAGCUAAUACCGCGUAAUAUCUUCGGAUUAAAGGGUGGGACCGUAAGGCCACCUGCCAUAAGAUGAGCCCAAGUGGGAUUAGGUAGUUGGUGGGGUAAAGGCCUACCAAGCCGACGAUCUCUAGCUGGUCUGAGAGGAUGACCAGCCACACUGGAACUGAGACACGGUCCAGACUCCUACGGGAGGCAGCAGUGGGGAAUAUUGCACAAUGGGGGGAACCCUGAUGCAGCCAUGCCGCGUGAAUGAAGAAGGCCUUCGGGUUGUAAAGUUCUUUCGGUGAUGAGGAAGGCGGUUGUUUUAAUAGAACAAUCGAUUGACGUUAGUCACAGAAGAAGCACCGGCUAACUCCGUGCCAGCAGCCGCGGUAAUACGGAGGGUGCGAGCGUUAAUCGGAAUGACUGGGCGUAAAGGGCACGCAGGCGGUGACUUAAGUGAGAUGUGAAAGCCCCGGGCUUAACCUGGGAAUUGCAUUUCAUACUGGGUCGCUAGAGUAUUUUAGGGAGGGGUAGAAUUCCACGUGUAGCGGUGAAAUGCGUAGAGAUGUGGAGGAAUACCGAAGGCGAAGGCAGCCCCUUGGGAAUAUACUGACGCUCAUGUGCGAAAGCGUGGGGAGCAAACAGGAUUAGAUACCCUGGUAGUCCACGCUGUAAACGCUGUCGAUUUGGGGAUUGGGCUUUAAGCUUGGUGCCCGUAGCUAACGUGAUAAAUCGACCG